GAGGAAACCCGCCGAGGGGGACACAUGACUCACAAAGGGCCGGGGUUGCCCAAGACACUGAGGCACACAAAGGCAGCAGGCCUCUGGAGAAAGGAAGGAUGGACAGUGGGGCAGAAAGUGUGGGGAGAACUCGUGAUCUGUUUCUGAGGCAGUUUUCCUCCUGUAGCUACACUCACACCCCGAGCAGCCACAGGGCCCAAAUCUGAACACAGGAUGCGGCGAUAAAGAUGUGAACCAGAACUGGUCCCAGUACUGAGC